rnacentral:lncRNA from 1 species
GUUGUUGUUGUUGUUGUUGUUGUUGUUGUUGUUGUCGUCGUCGUCGUCAUCGUCGUUGUUGUUGUUGUUGUUGUUGUUGUUGUUGUUCUUGUUCUUGUUGUUGUUUUUGUCAUCGUCGUCUUCGUUGUCGUCUUCGUUGUGUUUGUUGUUAUUGUCGUUGCUGUCGUUGUUAUCAUUGUUGUGGUUGUCGUCGUCUUCGUCUUCGUCAUCGUCGUCAUCGUCGAUGUUGUUGUUGUUGUUGUUGUUGUUGUUGUUGUUUUUGCU